AACGAACGCUGGCGGCAUGCCUAACACAUGCAAGUCGAACGAUCCCUUCGGGGAUAAUGGCGCACGGGUGCGUAACGCGUGGGAACCUGCCCUUAGGUUCGGAAUAACUCAGAGAAAUUUGAGCUAAUACCGGAUAAUGUCUUCGGACCAAAGAUUUAUCGCCUUUGGAUGGGCCCGCGUUGGAUUAGCUAGUUGGUGGGGUAAAGGCCUACCAAGGCGACGAUCCAUAGCUGGUCUGAGAGGAUGAUCAGCCACACUGGGACUGAGACACGGCCCAGACUCCUACGGGAGGCAGCAGUGGGGAAUAUUGGACAAUGGGCGAAAGCCUGAUCCAGCAAUGCCGCGUGAGUGAUGAAGGCCUUAGGGUUGUAAAGCUCUUUUACCCGGGAUGAUAAUGACAGUACCGGGAGAAUAAGCCCCGGCUAACUCCGUG
rnacentral:rRNA from 1 species